ensembl:lncRNA
AAAAAACCCCAAGAAAGUUUAUUUUAAAAACAUGAAAAAUGCAAGAAUAAUUAUAAGCAAAUUAGUAUUAUUGUUAUUGUUGCUGUUGUUGCUAUUUAUUACUAUAAUAUUUUAAAAUAAAAUUAAAGCAAAUAAAUCUGUUUAUUCAUGUCGGCUCACAAAAUUGAUCAAGAAGUAAAUUCCACAUGUAAGGAAUCUGGAGAAAAAUAAACUUCCCACUUCAACAACAUUCAUGGAUUUUUAAUUAUAUAAACAUGGUGUAGGUUUAAAUUGGAAAUAGAGAUAAAAUUAUAGAAGUACUGCAGCAGAACCAGAGCAGAACCCACACCAGGUUCAGGAUGUAGUCCCAACAGUAUCCUGGCUCAGGUUCAGGGUGUAGUCCGGACAGGGUCCCGGCUCAGGUUCAGGAUGUAGUCCCGGCAGUGUCCCGGUUCAGGUUGAGGAUGUAGUCCUGGCAGUAUCCUGGCUCAGGUUCAGGAUGUAGUUCCGGCAGUGUCCCGGCUCAGGUUCAGGAUGUAGUCCGGACAGUAUCCUGGCUCAGGUUCAGGAUGUAGUCCCGGCAGUGUCCCGGUUCAGGUUCAGGAUGUAGUCCGGACAGUGUCCCGAUUCAGGUUCAGGAUGUAGUCCCGGCAGUGUCCCGGUUCAGGUUCAGGAUGUAGUCCCGGCAGUGUCCUGGCUCAGGUUCAGGAUGUAGUCCCGGCAGUGUCCCG